rnacentral:rRNA from 1 species
UCGCCUGUUUAACAAAAACAUGUCUAUAUGAUUGUUAUAUAAAGUCUAGCCUGCCCACUGAUUUGUUUUAAAGGGCCGCGGUAUAUUGACCGUGCGAAGGUAGCAUAAUCAUUAGUCUUUUAAUUGGAGGCUUGUAUGAAUGGUUGGACAAAAAGUAAGCUGUCUCGGUUAUAAUAAUUGAACUUAACUUUUAAGUGAAAAGGCUUAAAUGUUUCAGGGGGACGAUAAGACCCUAUAAAGCUUGACAAUAAUUUCGUUAUAUUAUAAAUUGUUAGUAUAACUUGAUUUUAACGGGAGUUUGUUUCGUUGGGGCGACGGGAAUAUAAUAAAUAACUGUUCUUUUAAAUAUAAUUACAAAAAUACUUGGUAAAUAAUUGAUCCUCUAUUAGAGAUUAAAAGAUUAAGUUACUUUAGGGAUAACAGCGUAAUCUUCUUUGAGAGUCCACAUCGACAAGAAGGUUUGCGACCUCGAUGUUGAAUUAAGGUAUCCUUAUAAUGCAGCAGUUAUAAAGGAGGGUCUGUUCGACCUUUAAAUCCUUACAUGAUCUG